rnacentral:piRNA from 1 species
UUCUCCUCUCCUGCCGGACAAUGAGCUGC